rnacentral:lncRNA from 1 species
UUCAUUGUCCUCCUUUAUUUAAAGUUUAAACCCCAGUCUUCAACCAGUUCAUCCCCUUCCUCUCUUAGUUCAUCCCCUUCCUCUCUUGUCACCUCCAUCUUCAACCAACCAGAGGACACCAUGGCGGCGGACGACGUCACGCCGGCGGUAGCAUCUCAGGCAUACCUGGAAGGAGCUCAGGUCAAACAAACCAAGUCACUCAUCACCGAGUUAUGCCGCCUCUCUACACCCUCGGUUGGGUCUCCGGCACCGGCGGAAGCAUCACCGCCAAGGUCCAUGACGAUUCCGUCCCAAAAUCCGACCAACUCAUCAUCAUGUCCCCCUCCGAUUACUCAUAUGGAGAUGAUUAAAGGAAUUCAAGGGCAUGGUUAUUAUGAUGAGCUUGUGGCUCCGAUAAUAGAAAACACUGCUCAUGAAAGGGAGUUGACUUAAGCUCUUGCUGCAACAACUGAAGCGUACCCGUAAACAACUGCGGUACUGGUGCGAAACCAUGGUAUUUACAGGUGUUAGGGUUAAAAUACAGAGAGGAAGGGGAUGAACUGGUUGAAGACUGGGGUUUAAACUUUAAAGGAGGACAAUUAAUGGACAGAUCUACCCCUCACGUGGGAGGCACGUGGGGUAUUUAACGGUAAAAGUUAACAUCGUUUGCCAUAAAGGACUUGCAAUGCAACGAAAAUAAAGUUAAAGGAUUUGUAGUGCAACUUUUAAACGUUAAGGACGUGCACUGUACUUUUGGUUAAACCUAAAGGACGUGCACUGUCAUUUUGUCUAAGAAAAUACAAAAUAUUAAGGUAAAUAACAACGAUAGAUUUGAAACUAGGAAGAGUGGAAACAAACCAACACAUUUAUCAUUCAACCAACCAACUUUUUUGUUUCUUAUUUGAAACUUAAUUAGUUUAUUAUGGAAUAGAAUGUGAAAGAAAAGAAAAGGAAUUGAUGGUUUACGCUUAGCAGCUUCCCUUCUUUUUAUAUAUAACAUAACUAGGUUAUUACUCGGGAUUGUUUCCCGGACUCGAUAAAGUUACUUUUACUAAAAACUAUUUAUGAUUAAUGUAUAAUUAAAAUCAUACAAAAAUAAAACCUUCGCGAAAGAAAAAGAGGUACAUGAUCAAAAUGCAAAAUACGAACAACGUUGAUUAUGCUCUCUACAUCAUCCUAAUUUAAACGCCACCAUAACAAAAAUCACAAUAGGAAUCCCAAUCUCAACACCACCUGCAUAAAAUCACAAAAGGGCCACCGUAGAAGAGAUUAAAGCCAACAACUUUUAGUGGAAUCAGACGAGGGCGAAAGUCAUAGGAAUCAAUGAAGAAAGCUGGAAUAAAUUCCGCAGAAGUAUUCCCCCAUUUUCACUCCACAAUUGGUACAUAUUUGAGCAACCUAUCACAUCAACAUAAAUAAUAAAUCAUUAUAUAACAUCAAAACAUCUACACUUAUCAUCUAAAAAACGCUAUGCAAACUUAAUAAUUCCCAUAAAAUUCUCAUAACUUAACAAACCUGUUGUUCAGUAUUGCAAAUCGCACAAAUAACCUGUGUAAACCACCAAAAAGCACAAACACAUUACCUCACAUCCACAAAAAUCUUACUAUAAUCCCCAAAAACAUAACAAUCUUGGUAUUAAAAAGCGCGUCU